UAAACUAAAACAGUAAAACUACUUAUUAAUAAUCGCAGUUUACAGUGCCAACCCGCACUCCGCCCCACCAUUUCUUCCGCCACUCGCUCAACCACCACCUCGCGGCCGCGAACGGCUGCAGACUUGGGGGUUUCCCGUUUCCGGCAAUUGGAUGACCACUGGGAGCUAACACUCGAUUCCUUACUGAACAUCAGCCAUGGCAGAUGAAUCCCACCCCAAAACCGAACCACAAUAUGAGCACAUCAACGACGCCACUGUCUCCGUCGCCGACACCGCCGCCGCCGUUUCUCCGACUUCCAUUACCGACGCACCGCAGCAAAAAGCGUCACCGGCCACUAAGCUCCCUUCCAGGCCCCGCAAAAUCCGGAAGCUCUCCCCGGUAGCGGCGGCGGCGGCGGCGGCGCAGAGCUCCGGUCUAGUGCCUAGAAUAGUCGCGCGGUCACUCUCCUGCCACGGCGAGCUGGAGGCCGCCAUUCUCCACCUCCGAUCCUCGGACCCUAGACUCGCCCCGCUUAUUGACCUCCACCCGCCCCCAUCUCUCGAGCCCUUCCUGCCCCCAUUCCUCGCCCUAACCAAAAACAUUCUCUUCCAGCAACUCGCCUUCAAAGCCGGAACCUCAAUCUACACUCGCUUCAUCUCCCUAUGCGGCGGAGAAUCGAACGUCCUCCCCGACGUCGUUUUCAGCUUAACCCCCCAACAGCUCCGCCAAAUCGGCAUCUCGGCUCGCAAGGCCAGCUAUCUACACGAUCUAGCUAGGAAAUACCAGACCGCGAUUUUAUCGGAUAAGUCCAUUGUAGAAAUGGACGACAAAUCCUUGUUCACUAUGCUCACAAUGGUCAAUGGGAUCGGAUCCUGGUCAGUCCACAUGUUCAUGAUCUUCUCCCUGCACAGACCGGACGUUUUGCCGAUUCACGAUCUCGGGAUAAGGAAAGGCGUGCAGAUGAUAAACGAGCUAGAGGAUUUACCCAGGCCGUCGCAGAUGGAUCAGUUGUGUGAAAAAUGGCGGCCGUAUAGGUCAGUGGCGGCAUGGUACAUUUGGAGAUUUGUGGAGGCCAAGAACACAAAUUCAAACACCAAUGUUGUGGUAACGGAUUUGGAUGCCAGUUUGCAGCAGCAACAGCAAGAACAACAGCAUCAACUUCAUCAGCAGUUCUUGGAUCCUAUGAAUGGGAUUAUGAAUCUGGGGGCAUGUGCUUGGGGACAAUGACUGAAAUUCGGGUGUAGCUUUUAUAUCGUCUUCUACCCCCAUGGACCAUGUAAAUCUCACCAUGGAACGUCGAAGAGUUCUGGAGAAUUAAGGUGGUGAAGCCAUGAAAGAAACUUCCAUUUUUGUCAGGUGAAGAAGCUCAAGUAUCUGGACUCUCUCCAGUCUCCACCCUGUUGUAACUCCAUUGUUUUCUUCUUUCCUUUCUGCUAAAAUUAUUAUUUUUUUUUAAUAUAUGAAUGCUGUUGUUCCCUGCAUCAUAUUCACACCCUUUACUUGCAUAGUUGCAUGGUUUAGUACAGUGGAUUUAUAGGAAGAGCUGUUUCCACCUUUGCCUUUGUAAUAUUCUUUUUAUCUUUAAUGUCAUUGCGAAUGGUAUAAUUUUGUCAAACAUAUUGCAUUAUUACGUUCGGUUC